AUGAACAUUGCCCUCCUGAUCCGUUGGCUCUGGCGCAUUGCCAAUGGUGAUGGAAGUCUUUGGCUCACCAUCAUCCAAAACAAGUACCUUCGAGGACAGCCCCUUGCAUUCUGUCAGCGCUCGGGCGGCUUCCGGUUUUGGCAGGCCGUUGUCCAGCUUCUGCCUGUGCUUCGCAUUGGCACAUCCAUCUCGGUUGGUACUGGGUCCUCGACCUUGUUCUGGUUUGAUCAGUGGAUUGGCGACACCCCCCUGGCAGCUCGCUUUCCAGGGCUCUUCGACAUUGCAGUUGACCCUCGUGUCUCUGUCGAGACGGCCCUUAUUGACCUAGGGCGCCUCGCUUUCCGCCGACCCUUUGGCCCAACUGAAGUUGCCGCUUGGGAUGCCCUCCUUCAGGACAUCGCCCUCCUCCCCAUAGACGUCGCCGACACCCCGGACGCCAUCUCUUGGCGCCUGGAACCCUCUGGCUGCUUCUCCACCAAAUCCCUCUAUGCGGCCAUCGCCCACUCG
rnacentral:rRNA from 1 species